rnacentral:misc_RNA from 1 species
UACGUAGGGGGCAAGCGUUGUCCGGAAUUAUUGGGCGUAAAGGGCACGCAGGCGGUUCCUUAAGUCUGAUGUGAAAUCUUGCGGCUCAACCGCAAGCGGUCAUUGGAAACUGGGGAACUUGAGUGCAGAAGAGGAGAGUGGAAUUCCACGUGUAGCGGUGAAAUGCGUAGAUAUGUGGGGGAACGCCAGUGGCGAAGGCGACUUUCUGGUCUGUAACUGACGCUGAGGCGCGAAAGCGUGGGGAGCAAACAGG